rnacentral:rRNA from 1 species
UACGUAGGGGGCAAGCGUUGUCCGGAAUCAUUGGGCGUAAAGGGCGCGUAGGCUGCGGGGCAAGUCGGGUGUGAAAUCUCAGAGCUCAACUCUGAAACUGCACUCGAUACUGCUUUGCUCGAGGACUGGAGAGGAGAGUUGGAAUUCACGGUGUAGCAGUGAAAUGCGUAGAUAUCGAUGAGGAAGACCAGUGGCGAAGGCGGAUCUCUGGACAGUUCCUGACGCUGAGGCGCGAAGGCCAGGGGAGCAAACGGG